CCAGACUCCUACGGGAGGCAGCAGUGGGGAAUAUUGCACAAUGGGGGAAACCCUGAUGCAGCGACGCCGCGUGAGUGAAGAAGUAUUUCGGUAUGUAAAGCUCUAUCAGCAGGGAAGAAAAUGACGGUACCUGACCAAGAAGCCCCGGCUAACUACGUGCCAGCAGCCGCGGUAAUACGUAGGGGGCAAGCGUUAUCCGGAUUUACUGGGUGUAAAGGGAGCGUAGACGGUUGUGCAAGUCAGAAGUGAAAGCCCGGGGCUCAACUCCGGGACUGCUUUUGAAACUGUGAAACUGGAGUGCGGGAGAGGUAAGCGGAAUUCCUGGUGUAGCGGUGAAAUGCGUAGAUAUCAGGAGGAACACCAGUGGCGAAGGCGGCUUACUGGACUGUAACUGACGUUGAGGCUCGAAAGCGUGGGGAGCAAACAGGAUUAGAUACCCUAGUAUC
rnacentral:rRNA from 1 species